AGGACGAACGCUGGCGGCGUGCCUAACACAUGCAAGUCGAACGAGGUCCAACCGGUAGCAAUACCGGUGAAGAUCAAGUGGCGAACGGGUGAGUAGCACGUGAGCAACCUGCCCCGAAGACCGGGACAACACCGGGAAACCGGUGCUAAUACCGGAUAUCCCCACUGAGUCGCAUGGCUCGGUGAGGAAAUGGAUUCCGCUUCGGGAGGGGCUCGCGGCCUAUCAGCUUGUUGGUGAGGUAAUGGCUCACCAAGGCUUCGACGGGUAGCUGGUCUGAGAGGACGAUCAGCCACACUGGGACUGAGACACGGCCCAGACUCCUACGGGAGGCAGCAGUGGGGAAUCUUGCGCAAUGGGCGCAAGCCUGAUGCAGCAACGCCGCGUGAGGGACGAAGGCUUUCUGAGUUGUAAACCUCUUUCAGCAGGGACGAUUGUGACGGUACCUGCAGAAGAAGCCCCGGCCAACUACGUGCCAGCAGCCGCGGUAAUACGUAGGGGGCAAGCGUUGUCCGGAUUUAUUGGGCGUAAAGAGCUCGUAGGCGGCUUGGCAAGUCGGAUGUGAAACCUCCAGGCUCAACCUGGAGUCGCCAUUCGAUACUGCCAUGGCUAGAGUUUGGUAGGGGACCACGGAAUUCCUGGUGUAGCGGUGAAAUGCGCAGAUAUCAGGAGGAACACCAGCGGCGAAGGCGGUGGUCUGGGCCAAUACUGACGCUGAGGAGCGAAAGCGUGGGGAGCGAACAGGAUUAGAUACCCUGGUAGUCCACGCCGUAAACGUUGGGCACUAGGUGUGGGGACCUAUCGACGGUUUCUGUGCCGCAGCUAACGCAUUAAGUGCCCCGCCUGGGGAGUACGGCCGCAAGGCUAAA
rnacentral:rRNA from 1 species